rnacentral:rRNA from 3 species
AAUCCAUAGGUUAAUGAGGCGAACCGGGGGAACUGAAACAUCUAAGUACCCCGAGGAAAAGAAAUCAACCGAGAUUCCCCCAGUAGCGGCGAGCGAACGGGGAGGAGCCCAGAGCCUGAAUCAGCAUGUGUGUUAGUGGAAGCGUCUGGAAAGGCGCGCGAUACAGGGUGACAGCCCCGUACACAAAAGCGCAUGUGCUGUGAGCUCGAUGAGUAGGGCGGGACACGUGGUAUCCUGUCUGAAUAUGGGGGGACCAUCCUCCAAGGCUAAAUACUCCUGACUGACCGAUAGUGAACCAGUACCGUGAGGGAAAGGCGAAAAGAACCCCGGCGAGGGGAGUGAAAAAGAACCUGAAACCGUGUACGUACAAGCAGUGGGAGCACCCUUUGGGUGUGACUGCGUACCUUUUGUAUAAUGGGUCAGCGACUUAUAUUCUGUAGCAAGGUUAACCGAAUAGGGGAGCCGGAGGGAAACCGAGUCUUAACCGGGCGUUAAGUUGCAGGGUAUAGACCCGAAACCCGGUGAUCUAGCCAUGGGCAGGUUGAAGGUUGGGUAACACUAACUGGAGGACCGAACCGACUAAUGUUGAAAAAUUAGCGGAUGACCUGUGGCUGGGGGUGAAAGGCCAAUCAAACCGGGAGAUAGCUGGUUCUCCCCGAAAGCUAUUUAGGUAGCGCCUCGUGAA